UUGACUAUGUGAUCUUGCUUUCGUAAUAAAAUUCUGUACAUAAAAGUCGAAAGUAUUGCUAUAGUUAAGGUUGCGCUUGCCUAUUUAGGCAUACUUCUCAGGAUGGCGCGUUGCAGUCCAACAAGAUCCAGGGACUGUACAGAAUUUUCCUAUACCUCGAGUCGGGUUUGGAAUCUAAGGUUGACUCGCUGUAAAUAAU
rnacentral:other from 1 species